AGUCACGAGUUUGAUCAUGGCUCAGAACGAACGCUGGCGGCAUGCCUAACACAUGCAAGUCGAACGAGACCUUCGGGUCUAGUGGCGCACGGGUGCGUAACGCGUGGGAACCUGCCUUAGGUUCGGAAUAACUCAGAGAAAUUUGAGCUAAUACCGGAUAAUGUCUUCGGACCAAAGAUUUAUCGCCUUUAGAUGGGCCCGCGUUGGAUUAGCUAGUUGGUGGGGUAAAGGCCUACCAAGGCGACGAUCCAUAGCUGGUCUGAGAGGAUGAUCAGCCACACUGGGACUGAGACACGGCCCAGACUCCUACGGGAGGCAGCAGUGGGGAAUAUUGGACAAUGGGCGAAAGCCUGAUCCAGCAAUGCCGCGUGAGUGAUGAAGGCCUUAGGGUUGUAAAGCUCUUUUACCCGAGAUGAUAAUGACAGUAUCGGGAGAAUAAGCUCCGGCUAACUCCGUG
rnacentral:rRNA from 1 species